UUUUUUUUUUUGGUAUGUAGACUAUUUCUCUAUGUUUGCUAUUUUGGAAUAAACAUGCCAGUCCAAGGGAAUUUGCAUUUUAUGUGUGGCUGAAUGCUGAUAGAUUAUUCUUCUGGAAGACCAAUCUGCUUACCACCCCCGUCUGUCUCAUUGUGAGAAAGUCCAUGUCCCCCUGCCCAUGGCGACACUCCAUAGCAUCAAGACUUUUCCUUUUUAGCCCUUUUGAAACUUUUUAGUGUGUGGGUUGCAUUUCCCUGAUGACCAUACAGCUGAGCAUCUUUUCCCGGCCCCUGGCCACUCAUAUUGGCUCAGUGUGGAUUGUCUUUUUCCAUCCUUGCCAAGUCUGCUAUUGAGUUACUUAUCUUACCCGAUGCCUCGGUAGAUAAGAAUCCAACAUAGUGUCUGUGAGGAUUAAGGUUCAAUUCCUGGCAUUGCUCAUGGGUUAAGGAUCAGGUGUUGCUGCAAGCGGCAGUGUAGGUCGCAGAUGCAGCUUGGAUCUAAUGUUGCCAUGGUUAUGGCUAUGGCAUAGGCUGGCAGCUGCAGCUUCCAUUCACCCCCUAGCCUGGGAACGUCCAUAUGCUGCAGGUGCAGUCGUGAAAAGAAAAAAAAAGAUCUGGUUCCUGGCCACACUCUUAACCAGCUUUGUGACCAUGAGUUAGUCAAUGCUCCUUUGAGUGCCUCCAAGUUUACAUCUAUAAAGAAGGCACUUGAACAACCUAUUCCUUUUAUAACUCUUUAGUUUGAAACCUGGCAUCUCUCUGUAGCAAGGAGUUCCCACCCCAUUGGGACUUCCUUCAGCCCUUUGGGCUUAUUUUUAAUUAACUAACUAUCAGAACUCUUACAGGUCGAAUCUGAUGAUGAUCAGCGGCUCCCUCUGAGGCCCCUAGCCUGGCCCUCCAUCCCAGCCUGCUCCCACACAGGUCUCCAUCUCACAAGCACAGGCUGUCAGGUGGGGCGGCCGCCCCUGCAGUUCAGCACCUGCUAGCUGGACAGUUCCCGGGGGCACUGGUGGGGCAGGGGGUGCUGGGAAAGCUGCAGAGUACCAGGAGGGUGGGGCAUCUCUUCACCAAUAAAGGCCCACCAGGCAGCACCCCCCCUUCUGCAAGCCAACCCCCUUCCAGACUUGAGACUCUAGAACCCCUCGGUCACCCGAGGCUCCAGGUGCUCCAGAAUCCAGAAGUUAGCCUGUAGCCCCGGUCCUCAGUGAACAAGGUCUCCUCUGAGCUCUCUCACAAUGGGUAUGGGUCUCUGUCUCGGGGAUGCUGGACUUCAGCUCACAGCCUUGUGAAAUCAAGGGAUGGCCCUAACUACAAACAGGUAUUUGUCUAAAUAUGUCAAAUGGAGAAGAAGGGUCACGUGCCAGGAAUGAAGAGAGCUGGACUUUUUGUCUGCUCUGUCACAGCCAGUGGGACAAUGCCAGGGAGGGCUGGCAUCUUUUAGGCCCAUGGCAGCUCUCCCAGAUGAGUCCGUGAUCUGCAGAACAAAGCCUCUUCGGCUUGCAGGUCACUCAGGGAUCCCUUUGUUUCUCCUAAGCUCUUUGCCAUAAAGCCUACAUAGCUCUCCUCAGUUCCACCUGUACCACUGCCAUCUCCAGCCAGUCAAUAUCAGCCCUAUCAGCAAACAAACUCCAUUUUGCCUUUAGGCAAAGUGAUUGACAAUUGGCCCAUACACCCACUCUUUGCUUUACUCUUUCUACACCAGAGAGGAAGUAUCUCGUGGUUAUAAGAGUUAAAUGCACUUGGUUGAAUUCCACUGCAUGACCUUGGCCUCGUUACUGAAACUUUUUUCUUUUUUCUUUUUUUUUUUUUUAUUUAUGCUGCACAUGGGGCAUAUGGAAGUUCCUGGGCCAGGGACUGAAUCCAAGCCACAGCUAAGACGUACGCUGAAGCUGUGAUAGCGCUGGAUCCUUUAACCCAUUGUGCUGAUUCAAGGAUCAAACCCGUGUCUCCUAGUGACCUGAGCCACUGCAGUGGAAUUCUUAACCCACUGUGCCACAGCAGGAACUCCUAGUUACAGAAACUUUCUAAGCCUCAGUUUCUGUAUCUGUAACAUGGGAACAGUGAGCAUGUUCCUUGUAGGAUUAUUAUGCAACCAAGUGAGAUAAUGCAAGCGAAGUACUGUGCACAAUGCCUGGCUCAAUACAUUUUAUUUAUUAUUAUUUGUACUUAUUGCUCCUUCUCUAGCAUCCAUCCAAGUAGUGAAGUAAAUAGAACAGCUUAAAUUAUGCUUCUGGUAGUCUAUAUUUGUAGAACGAUCUAUUUCUUAAGUUACACAUUAAUUCAAGGCUUCAUUAAGUAGCUCAAUGCCUUGGGCAACAGAUUACUUAUAAAUAGUAUAAUAUUUAGUGGCUCCUGAGUUCUGCAGUCAGACAUUAUUAAUGGUCCAUGACUUAGAAUCAGGAUGAAGUUUAAACACGUGUCCCCAUCCACUCGGGUCCCCAUCUGCACACACACACACAUGUACACACACACAAGUGCACACAUGAGACGAUGGGGAAGACACCCCCCAGGCUGGUGCUCCCAGCAACACUUAUAAUUAUUUUUGGAAAAAGAAGAUUACGAUGAAAGGGGAAGAAAACCAACGUUUUCUUUCAAUGAACAUUGUAAAAAAGGAGUUCCCGUUGUGGCUCAGAGGGUUAAGAACCUGGCAUGGUGUCUUUGAGGAUCUAGGUUCAUUCCCUGGCCUCACUCAGUGGGUUAAGGAUCUGGCGUUGCUGCAAGCUGGGGGGUAGGUAGCCGACAUGGCUCAGCUCUGGCAUUGCCGUGGCUGUUGGGUAGGCAGGAAGCUGCAGUUCCUAUUUGACCCCUAGCCUGGGAGUUUCCAUAUGCUGCAGGUGCAGCCUUAAAAAGAAAAAAAAUAGUGCCAAAAAAACCGACCAACAUAGUCCAAGUGUUCAGUAAUAGGUUCACCGCUCCUUAUACCUAAUUAUCACCAAAGUAUCAGUUAAGGACCCCAUUUUUCAAGUGUGAAUAGCCCCCAAGGAUAAUUUAGAGUCUUUCACUUGGCAAAGGAAUAAAUGCAUUUCCCAGGAUCAUGUAAUCAUCUAUGGAAUUUAGGUAGAAAGAAGAUGGUAGCAAUUUAGAACAUUCAACAGAGGUUAUUCCGGCCUUCAGCUGUUUGGGGGAUGUGCGUGUGUGUGGGUACGUGUACGCAUGUGUGUCUUUUGUUGCGGACAGGCUACCCGAGGACAGAGUUGGCAGAAGAGAGGGUCAGAGUGGGCAUGUGGACACAUCCACGGGAAGCACACCUGGCUCAGUGGAACAGCCUUGAAGAAACCAAGGGCUUCAAAGAUGGUCUAGGCCUUCAAAGCAUAUCUUAGCUAAAGCUAGUUACACUAUGCAUUUUUUCCCACUGCAAACAGAGGACCCCACCAUUCUAAGGUCUCUGGGGUGACCGGAGGGAUGGCUAUUCCUCGCCUUCAAGCUCCUGGCAACUCUGAGCCCAGACAUCUUGGUCUGCCUCCCCCAGCCCUGGCCCCCACCCGUGAUCACUGCUCCUAACAAGGCUGGUCCACCCUUAAACUAUUCACUUGCUUCUGGGUACAGUCCAUUCUCUGUUUCCAUAAGUUGUGUGAAAAACCCUCUGGCCAGAGGAUGUUAGGGCUUCACUCUUUGCAGAAUGCAGGGGAUGUUGCCACAGAAAACACCAGAAUCUUGAUCCCUGUUCUGUUGGUUGCAGACCCUGGGUAAUUUCUACCACACUUUCUUUCUUGUGUUUCCCCGAAUCACAGUCAGCAUAAUCCUUAAAAACCAUGCUGUCGAAGUUGACUGCCUGGGAAACCGAGGUGCAGAAAGAAAAAGUCAUGGCCACAGGCAGCCGCAGUGACGAUCAAGGCCGAAGCCAGCCUCCCCUACCUGGUCCCGACCUUUUCUGCUGGAUCCUGGGCGGACUGCUUCUCCAGCACACGUAUCCACCUUUGCAUCCGGUGACCCAGAGCCUGCAUGAUGUCCCAGUCUUCCUGCUGUGCCUGGACAGGGAUGCUGGAUGAACUCAGCUAAACCUGUAAACCCACAGCACCAGUGCGCAGACUGUCUGUGCUAGUUGCUCCGCGUGUCCCUGAGCUGUUUCUGUGCUACUCGGUGGGAGGAGGCAGCCAGGUUAGACCCAAGCCGGUGCUUGUGGAUGGCAGCCCCACCCUGCGCCCAGCUGCCCCUUGGUCCCAGCAUCCCCAUCACCUCGGGAAGCCUAGAGAGCUGGGCCUCAAGCACCUGCUGACCUCUGCCCGGCAGAAGGCAUGGUGAUGUCACUGGGGUUAACAUUUCCUGCUUCCUCUUGGGACAGAUGGCUCCCCUUCCCUAUUGGGAGAGAAAGCUUUGGUGAGAGAUAAUAAUCCAGGCUUGCGGAGACCUGGGGGAGUGCUCAGAGGGGCCCAGGUCUGCACAGGUGAGGCAUGGGCUCAAGAGAAGGAGGAAGGCAGUUCUGUCCUUUUGUUAGAAAACCUCUAGUUUCUUCCUGGUUUGCCCUGUGACUUUCCAUGUGCAGAGUGUACGGGGCAGCGCUUCUUUCAAAAGGGAAGAACUGUGGGGUGGCUAAGGCCAGAGGAACGCCUACCAACCUGGUCCCGGGGGCAACGCGAACUUCCUAGCUGAUGCCAUGGAACAUCACGGCUGCUCAGACCCAUGUGAACACCCCAGUUCCAGACUGGAGACGGGACCAAGAGGUUCCCCUCACAGCAAGAUGCCUGCCUCUGCCACCCAGUUUUGCAACGACUUCCUCAGGGAAGGACCACAGUGUUUGCUGAGCACCUGUGCUGGCCAGGGUGAGGGCUUCCUGCCCAUCCAUUCCGGCGAGCAUCUCAAGGUCAGUAUCAAGGGGCGGUGGGUGCUUAGGGGAAAGAGCACAAUAAGCAGGGGCAGAGCAGGGAGAAUGAGGGGGAAUUUGCAUAGAGGAUGAAGGACAGAGGCAAAGGGAGGCAGGGUGAUUGGAGCCUGGGCAUCCUCACUGCCUGGGACAGCCGGGCAAUGCUAGGUCAGUGUUCCUGCCAAGAGCCAUUCUGUCUCGCCCUGCGGGGCCCCUAGACCAUCCCUCUCAGGGCCAUUAUACCCAGACAGAUGGCACACUUGCAUGCCCUGGUUGGAAACUGCUCAGCUAAGGAAUGGAAUGUUCUGGCCCCACCAAUUUGAUUUUCAAAUCACUUCCCUCUGAGCAGGAACCGCCCUCAGAGCCCCAAGGGCCCAGCUGACACUGAGAUUAGAGGGAGGGAAGGGGGACUCCCCCCAGUGCCACACACACCCUCUUCCAGCAUAUGCAUCAUUAUUUCUGCAAAAGAUUAAGAGGCGGAGAGGAUAGAGGGGUCAGAGGAGAUUAAGUGGCCAGGUUGGGGAAAGGGCAGGACUCCUGUUCUGGGGGCACGGAUGUUGGGGUGCUGGCGGAGUCAGGAUCCCGAUUUCUUACCCCAGCUGGUCAACAUGGGAAUCUGCUCAGGGUGAGGAGAGCUGGGCAACGCCCCCAGUCUAGCGUGGGGGCUCCACCAUUCCAAGAGCUCACCAAGUAUCUUUCCUGAUUCCGCCAGCAGGGGGCGAGGCUCCUCCAUCAGCCCUGAGCCUUGUCAAUCUCGCCUGCGGAUCAGAUUGGAGGAUGCCUGAUGGGGUGAUGCCUGGUCCGGGCGAUCUCUGAGAGUGGUCCCUGCUACCCUGCACACACCUCCUUCAGAGAUCUGAAGCCCUUGCUCAGAGGGUAGGGCUAAACUUCCAGUUCAUCUCAGGAAGCGAAACAGAGGGGCUUGCUGGCAUUCAUAGGAAAGUAAUGAGAAAACAGGCUCAGAGGGUGUGAGCCACUUGCCUGGUAAAUGACACGGCCUGGCUCGGAACCUUCAUCAGCCUGACUGCACACCAGUCUCCUGUCUGAGUGCCGUUCCAUCAGAUGACAAAUAGUAGGUCUUAGACACCAGAGAUAGGUCUGAGGGGAAGUGUGCGCCCCAGCCACCCCUCUCCCAGCCCACUCCACAUGCACACUUGCCUCCAGAGGCCACCCUGGAACAAAAGAGUCAAACUUUGUCAGCCACAUGCCCUGCUCCAGGAAAGCCUCUUUGAACACACCCACACCCCUGCCCUCCAUUCAGGGGCUUCUAGGAAGUGACACUGGUCCCGGAACAAGGGAAGAAUUCAAAUGGGUCUCUGAACUUGGGUGCAAGGGAUGCACCAUCAGAGUUAAAGCUGCUGACAGUUCCUCGGAGGGAGCCUGGAGCCCCGGGAUUUGGGAGACAGAUGUGACGAUCCUGCAGGUGAGCUGCCAGGAUAUUAAACCAAAGGACCACUCCCCAAAGUGCUGUGUGUGUGUCUGCGCCAAAGGCAGAAAGGGGCCCAGGACCCUGGGGAGCAUGCCUUCUUGAAGGGUCGUCUUCCAGGAGCCC
rnacentral:lncRNA from 1 species